GUGCCAGGGAAGCGGAGCUGAGCAGAACGCUACUGGGACUACCGAGGUGUUGGCGGAUGAGUUGCUGCUCUUGAUGAAAGAGAGUGGGUGCUGAAGGUGCUUCACCAAACACACAAAGCUGAAAGCUACAGCAGCACUCUCCUCCCCGAACCCCUGCUGGAACUCUCUCAGGCAUGUGGGAUAACAACAGCACCCACCACCUGGAGAUGUGAACGCAGGGAGGCAGCCCUCUGAAGGCCAGCGCCAGAGGCCAGCGCAGAGCCGGCACUCAGUGCAGGUCAGCACUGCAGUUACACUACGGGUGAUAACUGAAGACCGGCCCCUAGGAAAGGGGUAACCUGGGAUAUGAGCCUCACACUGCCCUUUGCCUCUGGCUGGCCAGGGGCAGUGACAGCACAGACAUUUUUCCAUCAGCCCUAGGGUUCAGUGGCAAGGGAGGUGCAUCAGGCCACACACACACAAGAUAUGCUGAAGCCACUUAGUGGUUCCCAAGUGCUCCAGAUAAAUAAAGCUGUGGGGUUCUUCAAAAAAAAAAAAA
rnacentral:sRNA from 1 species